rnacentral:rRNA from 1 species
UACGGGGGGGGCAAGCGUUGUUCGGAAUUACUGGGCGUAAAGGGCUUGUAGGUGGCCAACUAAGUCAGACGUGAAAUCCCUCAGCUUAACUGGGGAACUGCGUCUGAUACUGGAUGGCUUGAGUUUGGGAGAGGGAUGCGGAAUUCCAGGUGUAGCGGUGAAAUGCGUAGAUAUCUGGAGGAACACCGGUGGCGAAGGCGGCAUCCUGGACCAAUACUGACACUGAAAAGCGAAAGCCAGGGGAGCAAACGGG